rnacentral:rRNA from 1 species
AAUACGAGGGUUCCAAGCGUUACUCGGAAUCACUGGGCGUAAAGGGUGCGUAGGCUGGCUUCUAAGUCAGAUGUGAAAUCCAAUGGCUCAACCAUUGAACUGCAUUUGAAACUGGGAGCCUAGAGUCAGAAGGGGCAGAUGGAAUUAGUGGUGUAGGGGUAAAAUCCGUAGAUAUCACUAGGAAUAUCAAAAGCGAAGGCGAUCUGCUGGGAUGAUACUGACGCUGAGGCACGAAAGCGUGGGGAGCAAACAGGAUUAGAUACCCUGGUAGUCCACGCCCUAAACGAUGAAUGCUAGUCGUCGGGGAGCUCGUCUCUUCGGUGAUGCACUUAACAGAUUAAGCAUUCCGCCUGGGGAGUACGGUCGCAAGAUUAAAACUCAAAGGAAUAGACGGGGACCCGCACAAGUGGUGGAGCAUGUGGUUUAAUUCGAAGAUACACGAAGAACCUUACCUGGCCUUGACAUGGUAGGAACCCUUAAGAGAUUAGGGGGUGCUAGCUUGCUAGAACCUACACACAGGUGCUGCACGGCUGUCGUCAGCUCGUGUCGUGAGAUGUUGGGUUAAGUCCCGCAACGAGCGCAACCCUCGUCCUUAGUUGCUAACAGUUUGGCUGAGCACUCUAGGGAGACUGCCUUCGUAAGGAGGAGGAAGGUGAGGACGACGUCAAGUCAUCAUGGCCCUUACGGCCAGGGCUACACACGUGCUACAAUGGGGCGUACAGAGAGCUGCAAUACCGCGAGGUGGAGCCAAUCUCUUAAAGCGUCUCUCAGUUCGGAUUGUUCUCUGCAACUCGAGAACAUGAAGCUGGAAUCACUAGUAAUCGCAGAUCAGCUAUGCUGCGGUGAAUACGUUCCCGGGUCUUGUACUCACCGCCCGUCACACCAUGGGAGUUGAUUUCACCCGAAAUCGGGAUGCCAAACUGGCUACCGCUUACGGUGGAAUUAGCGACUGGGGUGAAGUCGUAACAAGGUAACC